GAUGAACGCUCGCUACAGGCUUAACACAUGCAAGUCGCGGGGCAGCAUGGGGGUUGCUUGCACUCCCCGAUGGCGACCGGCGCACGGGUGAGUAACGCGUAUCCAACCUGCCCUUCACCACGGGAUAACCCGGCGAAAGUCGGACUAAUACCGUAUGUUGUCCAUUGACGGCCUCCGAUUUGGACGAAAGGCUUGGCGGUGAGGGAUGGGGAUGCGUCCGAUUAGCCAGACGGCGGGGUAACGGCCCACCGUGGCUACGAUCGGUAGGGGUUCUGAGAGGAAGGUCCCCCACACUGGAACUGAGACACGGUCCAGACUCCUACGGGAGGCAGCAGUGAGGAAUAUUGGUCAAUGGGCGUAAGCCUGAACCAGCCAAGUAGCGUGCAGGAGGACGGCCCUAUGGGUUGUAAACUGCUUUUAUGCGGGGAUAAAGUGGCCCACGUGUGGGCUUUUGCAGGUACCGCAUGAAUAAGGACCGGCUAAUUCCGUG
rnacentral:rRNA from 1 species